UCCCAUGUAGUUCCUGGGUGCAGAAUUCUCUGGAAACACAGGGACUUCUAAAUGGCUCAACCCAGACCUACCAUUCAGACCAGGCCACUCUGUCCCCAGUGGAGCCCAGGCAGCCACUUCUGAACAUCUGAAACUCACUCCUUGUGGCAGCCCAGGCAUCACUGAAAGAAGGGCAUGAGGACCUGUCUUGGCCAGGAUUUCAGGGGCCUGGGAAAGCUCCUGCCUUCACCAAGAAAUUCCACCCUCUCUUAAAUACAUGCUGUCCCACCAUGAAAGAUUCCUUCCCAGGCUGAAGGACAGACUUUUCUCGAACUACCAUUUCCUUGUAGCAAAGACCCGCCCCCAGCUGUCAGCAUUUUGUCCUUUACUGCGAGUUGUCAGGACCUCCUUUGGACCAGCGGCUGGGACCCUUCAAGCAACAGUUACCAGAAGCCAUGACAUGUCCCUGCAGCUGGAGGCCUUUGAGGAAGAGCCGUAGAGGCCUUCUGGACCUAGCGUUUCCUGGGGAAGAAGAAAGAUAGGAACUGAAAACCAGAGGAGACUUUUUUGGAGGAAGAUUGGAACCCAGGUCAAAGAAAAGCCAAAAUUCUCAAAGGGAAGCCACUAUCUAAUGCCCGACAGGUGCAUAGCCCACUGACUCUGAAGACAAAUACCUUGCUUCACCCCUAAUGCUGUCCGUGAGUGUCCAGAACCUUCAACCUGGCCCCAAAGUUUCUCCCAUUGGUCACAACCAAGGUGGCUAAUAGUGUGGCAUACCAGUCCCCAUAUCCUUUCUCCUUCAUCACUCCUUUCCCCAUUUCCUCAACUGGAAAUGACAAGAAGCUUCCAGAUCAGAUGUCAUCACCUGGUCCCCUGGAGGAGGUUUCCAUCCUGCCAAAGUUAUACAGCUUCAUCACCCACUUUUGAGCUAGUUCCAAGAAAGCACCUCCCUCCCCAGACUCUCCAUGUCUAAUGCUGGCCCUGGAAUAUUUUAUCCAUGAUGUGGGGCUCAUGGCCAAUCCCAGUCCAUGUUGACCUGUUUUUCGAUCCCAGGCUAAGGCUGCAUUCCCUUCAUUGUCUCGAUAGCUCUUCCUCGUGUGCUCCUAGAGGGCAAGACACUGUUUCUCAUGCAUUUCCGGAUCCCUGGAGCUUAGCUCAGAACUUGGGAUGCAUGGCCUGUGCCUCCUUUAUUUGAAUAAAAUGAUUUCAAAAUGGUGUU